GAAGUAAAAAGUCGUAACAAGGUUUCCGUAGGUGAACCUGCGGA
rnacentral:rRNA from 2 species